UAUUGAUACCGGUGGCCUAGUGGAUAUGGCAUCCGCUUCGGAUGCGGCAGGUCGUGGAUUCAAUCCCCGAUCGAGUAA